AUUGAACGCUGGCGGCAGGCCUAACACAUGCAAGUCGAACGAGUGGCGGACGGGUGAGUAAUGUCUGGGAAACUGCCCGAUGGAGGGGGAUAAUUACUGGAAACGGUAGCUAAUACCGCAUACCAUCGGAUGUGCCCAGAUGGGAUUAGCUAGUAGGUGGGGUAACGGCUCACCUAGGCGACGAUCCCUAGCUGGUCGGAGAGGAGGACCGGCCAAACUGGAACUGAGCCACGGUCCGGACUCCUACGGGAGGCAGCAGUGGGGAAUAUUGCACAAUGGGUGAAGUCCUGAUGCAGCCAGGCCGCGUGUUGGAAGAAGGCCUUCGGUUGGUAAAGUACUUUCAGCGAGAAGGCGUUACUCGCAGAGGAAGCACCGGCUAACUCCGUGCCAGCAGCCGCGGUAAUUC
rnacentral:rRNA from 1 species